rnacentral:rRNA from 1 species
CCUACGGGAGGCAGCAGUGUGGAAUAUUGCGCAAUGGGCGAAAGCCUGACGCAGCGACGCCGCGUGAGGGAUGAAGGUCUUCGGAUCGUAAACCUCUGUCAGCAGGGAAGAACGGUCACUGUGCUAAUCAGCAGUGAAUUGACGUUACCUGCAAAGGAAGCACCGGCUAACUCCGUGCCAGCAGCCGCGGUAAUACGGAGGGUGCGAGCGUUAAUCGGAAUUACUGGGCGUAAAGCGCUCGUAGGCGGUAUGUCAAGUCAGGGGUGAAAUCCCCGCGCUGAACGUGGGAACUGCCUUUGAAACUGGCAAGCUGGAGUGUGGGAGAGGAGAGUGGAAUUCCAGGUGUAGGAGUGAAAUGCGUAGAGAUCUGGAGGAACAUCAGUGGCGAAGGCGACUAUCUGGCCCAUAACUGACGCUGAGGAGCGAAAGCGUGGGGAGCAAACAGGAUUAGAUACCCGAGUAGUC